rnacentral:rRNA from 1 species
UGGCUCAGCAUGUACGCUGGCGGCGUGCUUAACACAUGCAAGUCGAACGGGGCACCCCUGAAGGAGUUUUCGGACAACUGAAGGGAAUGCUUAGUGGCGGACGGGUGAGUAACGCGUGAGUAACCUGCCUUGGAGUGGGGAAUAACAGUUGGAAACAGCUGCUAAUACCGCAUGAUGCAGUUGAGUCGCAUGGCUCUGACUGCCAAAGAUUUAUCGCUCUGAGAUGGACUCGCGUCUGAUUAGCUAGUUGGCGGGGUAACGGCCCACCAAGGCGACGAUCAGUAGCCGGACUGAGAGGUUGGCCGGCCACAUUGGGACUGAGACACGGCCAGACUCCUACGGGAGGCAGCAGUGGGGAAUAUUGGGCAAUGGGCGCAAGCCUGACCCAGCAACGCCGCGUGAAGGAAGAAGGCUUUCGGGUUGUAAACUUCUUUUCUCAGGGACGAAGAAAGUGACGGUACCUGAGGAAUAAGCCACGGCUAACUACGUGCCAGCAGCCGCGGUAAUACGUAGGUGGCAAGCGUUAUCCGGAUUUACUGGGUGUAAAGGGCGUGUAGGCGGGAGUGCAAGUCAGAUGUGAAAACCACGGGCUCAACCUGUGGCCUGCAUUUGAAACUGUACUUCUUGAGUACUGGAGAGGCAGACGGAAUUCCUAGUGUAGCGGUGAAAUGCGUAGAUAUUAGGAGGAACACCAGUGGCGAAGGCGGUCUGCUGGACAGCAACUGACGCUGAGGCGCGAAAGCGUGGGGAGCAAACAGGAUUAGAUACCCUGGUAGUCCACGCUGUAAACGAUGGAUACUAGGUGUGGGGGGACUGACCCCCUCCGUGCCGCAGUUAACACAAUAAGUAUCCCACCUGGGGAGUACGAUCGCAAGGUUGAAACUCAAAGGAAUUGACGGGGGCCCGCACAAGCGGUGGAGUAUGUGGUNUAAUUCGAAGCAACGCGAAGAACCUUACCAGGGCUUGACAUCCCGAGGCCAGACCUAGAGAUAGGUCCUUCUCUUCGGAGACCUCGGUGACAGGUGGUGCAUGGUUGUCGUCAGCUCGUGUCGUGAGAUGUUGGGUUAAGUCCCGCAACGAGCGCAACCCUUAUUGUUAGUUGCUACGCAAGAGCACUCUAGCGAGACUGCCGUUGACAAAACGGAGGAAGGUGGGGACGACGUCAAAUCAUCAUGCCCCUUAUGUCCUGGGCCACACACGUACUACAAUGGUGGUCAACAGAGGGAAGCAAAACCGCGAGGUGGAGCAAAUCCCUAAAAGCCAUCCCAGUUCGGAUCGCAGGCUGCAACCCGCCUGCGUGAAGUUGGAAUCGCUAGUAAUCGCGGAUCAGCAUGCCGCGGUGAAUACGUUCCCGGGCCUUGUACACACCGCCCGUCACACCAUGAGAGUCGGGAACACCCGAAGUCCGUAGCCUAACCGCAAGGGGGGCGCGGCCGAAGGUGGGUUCGAUAAUUGGGGUGAAGUCGUAACAAGGUAACCGU